rnacentral:rRNA from 1 species
AUCAAUGUUGAGGUUUGCUCAAGCAUAAAAGCUGUGAAGUACCUCUUUAAAUACAUAUAUAAGGGGCAUGAUCGAGCAUCUGUUUCUAUCGACGCGGUGGAUAGUGACGGAAACAUUGAUGAAAUAAAGCAAUACAGAGAUUCCAGUAACGAGCCUAGGGAGAUCAUAGAGGAGUCGACGAUAGGGGUGAACCCAGAACACCUUGGCUUUUCAUCUUUCCUAAACCCAUAACAGAGAUAUGCAUAUGAUGAGAUACUUGCAACAAUCAAUAGUGGCCAAGGAGGUGUGUUCUUUGUUGAUGGACCAGGAGGCACUGGAAAGACUUAUCUAUACAAAGCA